AGUGAACGCUGGUGGCGUGCCUAAUACAUGCAAGUCGAACGAAGUGGCGCACGGGUGAGUAAUAUAUAGUUAAUCUGCCCUAAACAGAGGAACAACAGUUGGAAACGACUGCUAAUACCUCAUAGUGUAGGAUGAGACUAUAUCGUAUCAGCUAGUUGGUAAGGUAAUGGCUUACCAAGGCGACGAUACAUAGCCGACCUGAGAGGGUGAUCGGCCACACUGGGACUGAGACACGGCCCAGACUCCUACGGGAGGCAGCAGUAGGGAAUCUUCGGCAAUGGACGGAAGUCUGACCGAGCAACGCCGCGUGGAGGAUGACACUUUUCGGAGCGUAAACUCCUUUUAUCAGGAAAGCGGUACCUGAUGAAUAAGCACCGGCUAACUCCGUGCCAGCAGCCGCGGUAAUUC
rnacentral:rRNA from 1 species